GCAAAUACAUGUCAGCCGUAUUCCCCAAGCAUCGUGAAUGGAACCUUUUCAAAAUCAAGAACUAUAGUAUUCUCAACUUUAUUAAUUCAUCUAAACGAUAAACCAAUGGACAAAUAAGUUCGGUUCUGUAUACUUCUGCAACGAUUCUGGUCACAGUAACCGUUGCUAAAUUGCAUGGCAAUAUGGUACGAUUUUUGACAAAACUAUGUCUACAUGCAGUUGUAUUUCACCCAACUAUUGCAGGUUUAGUUAGGGAAUAGUUAAGUAAGAGUGACAGACACGCAUGUAGUAGUUAUUCGUUUUUGUUUCUAUAUUGUGCCCGUUCCUUUAGUUAUACAAGUGUGCACUGACAGAGAUAAUUGAGUCGGAUAUUUGAAUGUUGACUGCAAGAGAUACUUCCAAAAAUAAUAGACAGUAGUAUGUUUGAUUUUGUUGCUCUUACAAUUGUUAUUAGAAAUACGCAUCACAACGUGUUUUGCCUCGAUUAUCACCUUGCCAGAAUUUGCGCGGCAGCUUCGAAAAUGUGACGUGGGAUUAGCAUAAAAAACAGGGUCAACAAAGUGCUGCUUCAGAUGCUGCAGAAGGGCCAGAUCCAGUACGGAGUUGAGAAGGACUGAGGAAAAAUGAGCAGUGCGACCACCAGAGGCUUGACGUAUCCCAAAUACUGCAGGACAGAGGCAAUGUGGGCACAGCAUUCCACUGUGCUGGCUCCAGAUCUGUACAGCAUUAAUGAGUGAUGCCUAUGAAUCCUGGACUGGAGUUGCACAUCCAACAGGAUAUUGUUGUCACAGAAGUUCAUAGUAGUCCAUGCUCCUCAGCGUACAACUCCAUCUGUUUCGAUUGGGAAACACCAAGGGUGAUGUCCCGCAACCACUCAUCCAACAUUCUUGGAGUCCGCCGAGCGAUAAUCUAUUUUAUGAAGCAUGUCAUCGUUCAAUAGUAUAAUCUCUUAGUGAGAACAUCUUGUGCAGAAUUGGUUUUCAAAGGAGGGCCCCGGUA